rnacentral:rRNA from 1 species
ACUCCUACGGGAGGCAGCAGUGGGGAAUAUUGCACAAUGGGGGAAACCCUGAUGCAGCCAUGCCGCGUGUGUGAAGAAGGCCUUCGGUUGUAAGCACUUUCAGUAGGGAGGAAGGUAGUGUAGUUAACACCUGCAUUAUUUGACGUUACCUACAGAAGAAGCACCGGCUAACUCCGUGCCAGCAGCCGCGGUAAUACGGAGGGUGCGAGCGUUAAUCGGAAUUACUGGGCGUAAAGCGCAUGCAGGCGGCCUGUUAAGUCAGAUGUGAAAGCCCGGGGCUUAACCUCGGAAUUGCAUUUGAAACUGGCAGGCUAGAGUCUUGUAGAGGGGGGUAGAAUUUCAGGUGUAGCGGUGAAAUGCGUAGAGAUCUGAAGGAAUACCAGUGGCGAAGGCGGCCCCCUGGACAAAGACUGACGCUCAGAUGCGAAAGCGUGGGGAGCAAACA